rnacentral:tRNA from 1 species
GGAGAGAUGCCGGAGUGGUCGAACGGGGCGGUCUCGAAAACCGUUGUUCUGCUAUCGCGGAACCGAGGGUUCGAAUCCCUCUCUCUCCGCAA